GACGUAGGGCGCGAGCGUUGUCCGGAUUUAUUGGGCGUAAAGAGCUCGUAGGCGGCUUGUCGCGUCGACCGUGAAAACUCGCAGCUCAACUGCGAGCCUGCGGUCGAUACGGGCAGGCUAGAGUUCGGUAGGGGGGACUGGAAUUCCUGGUGUAGCGGUGAAAUGCGCAGAUAUCAGGAAGAACACCCGUGGCGAAAGCGGCUCUCUGGAACGGUACUGACGCUGAGACGCGAAAGCCGUGGGGAGCGAACAGG
rnacentral:rRNA from 1 species